UCUAGUGGUUUCUUCUUAGAGAAUAGAGUCUCACAGAGAGGAACAGGCCUAGACUGAAAGUACUCCUUAGAUAAAGGACUGGAGUAGACCAGGAGAAGGAACUGAGUGUAGGCCCUUCUGGAGAGCUACAAGGGUGAUACAUUGGUAUCUGGGUGAAUAUCCAGCAAAAACCUACGUUUCAGGGAAAGACUUUUUGAUUUGGCUGGAGGAACACAUUACUCUACCACCCCGUGGAAGGGAAUCUUUAGGAAACUGAGACAUGGACCUCACAUCAGAGAGUACAGAGACACUUUUUACCAAAGCCCAGUGGAGUCAAUGGAAGUCUUUCAACUGACAGCAAUGGCCUUUGGAUCAUGCCUGUAGGAGCUGCAGAUGUGUAAAUCAUUCUGAAUGACUCCUAUUGGCUUCAGUGGAUGCUGGAUCAGGCCCAGAGUCCAAAACUGAGAAAGGAAGAAAGUCCAAUGGAGGUG